GCGGGAAUAGCUCAGUUGGUAGAGCACAACCUUGCCAUGGUUGGGGUCGCGAGUUCGAGCCUCGUUUCCCGCUCCA
rnacentral:tRNA from 1 species